CUAGUUGGUGAGGUAAUGGCUCACCAAGGCAGAGACGGGUAGCUGGUCUGAGAGGAUGAUCAGCCACACUGGUACUGGAACACGGACCAGACUCCUACGGGAGGCAGCAGUGGGGAAUCUUGGUCAAUGGGCGCAAGCCUGAACCAGCGAUGCCGCGUGAGUGAUGAAGGCCUUCGGGUUGUAAAGCUCUGUGGGGCGGGACGAAAAAGCAGUUUCUAAUAGGAGCUGAAUUGACGGUACCGCCUUAGCAAGCACCGGCUAACUCUGUGCCAGCAGCCGCGGUAAGACAGAGGGUGCAAACGUUGCUCGGAAUCACUGGGUGUAAAGGGCGUGUAGGCGGGACGGUAAGUCGGGCGUGAAAUCCCUGGGCUCAACCCAGGAACUGCACUCGAAACUACCAUUCUUGAGUGUCGGAGAGGAAAGCGGAAUUCCUGGUGUAGAGGUGAAAUUCGUAGAUAUCAGGAGGAACACCAGUGGCGAAGGCGGCUUUCUGGACGAUAACUGACGCUGAGACGCGAAAGCGUGGGGAGCAAACAGGAUUAGAUACCCUGGUAGUCCACGCUGUAAACGAUGAGUGCUAGGUGUCGUGGGUAUUGACCCCCGCGGUGCCGUAGCUAACGCAUUAAGCACUCCGCCUGGGAAGUACGGUCGCAAGACUAAAACUCAAAGGAAUUGACG
rnacentral:rRNA from 1 species